AGAUGUACUUCAGAGAGCUGCGCUCUCUUCCACGACUUCAUCAGCGCAAUCAAGAGUCCAGACUACAAGCAGCGGGUUCAGUCCAUUAAAGAUCUGGUCCGACAGCUUCCCGUCUGCAACCACGACACCAUGCAGACUCUCUUCAAGCACCUCAGGAAGGUGAUCGAGCACGGCGAGGAGAACCGUAUGACCACUCAGAGCGUGGCCAUCGUGUACGGCCCCACGCUGUUGCGCCCCGAACAGGAGACGUGGAACAUCGCGGUCCACAUGGUGUACCAGAACCAGAUCGUGGAGCUCAUACUGCUGGAGUACGAGAACAUUUUCGGCAGGUAGAGAGAGACGCUGGAGGACGAGCCUCUUGUUUUUCUCUCUCACUCUCCCAACGCAGAGCUCUUCCUAACCCAGCGUGGCCUUGCCGAACACAGCCUGGCUCGGCUCGGCUCGGCUCAGCUUCUCUUCCUCUCAAAUUGUAGUCACUGGCUUUCUCCUCUCGUACAACCUCCGGACCAAAGCUACGCAAAUGUGUCAUAAACCAAACCAUAGAUGUAUCGAACUAGCGACCAAGAAACAGGUUUGCACUUUUCAGUAUCUCAUGUUCUCCUGCAGCUGCGUUUGUGCCACUUUACUGCAAUAGUUGGCGUCCAAAUGUCCGACACUGGAUUCCUAAUACAGGGCCAUAAACGCCUCGUCUACUGCACAGAGACCAAAGCAUCAGUUGGCUGGAAGUAAGGAGGCGUCAGUAUUGGAGGUUGGAGACCGGACUGUAUUGUAUAACCUGUCACCACUCCUGUAAGAACCACACUGGGGAACCAAGAGAAGGAACUGCUGUGCUUGGCUUUAGACGUUUAGACACUAAGAGAAGCAACGUGGAGAAGAAGGGAUGGAACGCUUUUAUUUAGGAAUGAUAUGAACAUUUACUGCCCUUUCCGUUCAGGUCUCCCUUUGUCUUUCCUUUUAUUUGAGCAGGAAUGCUUCACCAUCAAAAUGACCACUUGUAUAUCAAAUUACUCGACUCGUGUUUUCUUAAGUUUUUGAAGAUGAUGUCGUUUUUCUUGUAUCCCUCUACGGUAAGAAGAAUUCAAAAAACUGUUUGAUGAAUUGACGUAAAUUGGGACGUAUUUUAAACCCUUUAUUUAAAAGCUCUCACAUUUUGUGCAGUAAAGCUCAAAUAUCCCGUCACAUGCUAGUAAUUCCAAUUUUUUUAUAAAACCUUACAUUAUAAAAGACAUCAAAGUUUCACAUUUGAGCAUUAUUUGACCCUCCGUGAGACCAGUCAUGUGGAAGUGCUUUAAAUAGUAAGCUCUUAAUGAAGAAUUCAAGAUAACAUGGUGAAUAAUUGUCAUUCCUUUAAACGCUCUUUCCAUCUCUCUCUUUGUUCUUCUUCCUGUAUUCCUGAAACACUGGACCAGGGUCCUCUGAACACAUGAGAGGCUUUCACUCUGUCAUAUAUCUGCACGCCGCCUUCUCCAUUUGGCUUUAUGAACAAAUCACCUUGCAGCAGCCAGAACUUGAAAAACAAACAAAUGGUACUCAGCUGUGUCUUUCCUUGACUCGUGGAUAUUAAAUGUUAAGGCCGACCGUCUUUGAACCAUGAUUCCAUUGAUACAUCUGUACAGUGUUUGUGUGUGUGCAUGUGGACGAGGGGGGGGUGGACGGAUGAAUGGACUCGAUGACAAUAUAUUGUACAAAUAGUGAAUAUAAAUAUGUAUGCUUGGAAUGUUAAAGAAUAUGAUAAGAGGGAGAAAUCACUCUUGUUGUGAUCGUUGUGAGACCAACAGAGGAAUAAAGGUCUGAACUGGGGACGUGGAGGUUUACCUGAGGUUCAGGUAAAUGAAAGAUUGUUUGAAUGUAACUUUGGAGAGUAACUGUUGGCUUUACCAAACUGGAAUAAAGACCUCUGAUAAGAGAUAUUUCCAAAGGA